UGGGUUGUGACUCAGUGGUAUAGCUCUUGCCCAGCAUGCAUGAGGUACUGGGUUCGAUCCCCAGCACCACAU
rnacentral:tRNA from 1 species